UAUUAUAAGGUCAGAUUUCUGUCCUUGCAGCUCCGCACAGUGUGAGGAUAGAAAUUUUCAAGAGGAAGGUGCAGGAGGAUGGCUGUUUUACAGAGUUUGCGAAAGCUGCAGGACCACAAAGAUCAGCCGCUCACAGCUGUCUUGAGAGGUAGGCCAUAGCCUGACUUGGCUAUUGGCAUGUCCAUGCAUGUCUUACUCAAGUUGGAUCAUGUACUUCGCUGAUGGAGGUCAGGAAAUUUGUGUCACUUGGUUGUGACACCCAGAAAUGAGACAACUGACAUCAGCAUCGGUCUCUUCACGGUUGCUCUCACAGUGUCCGGCUUCCCCAUAUCCUGCCUGCGCAUGAAGGACGCUCAUGCAUUGUCAUCUGUCCUUUCAGACCGUAUCAUCUCGGAGCUGCACCGUCUGCGAAGCUUGAUUCAGUGUCGUGAUCAUCGCCAUCUUGUAAUCCUGGUCGAAGAUGAUGUGAUACAAGUGUUCUUUGGCUGGUGUGCGUGGGCGGCUAGUCCGGAAGUCCAACACCGCAAAGUCGUGAACAUGGCCUUCCUGAAUAAGCUUGUGGUACGUGCCGCCAGCUUCAAACCUACAGCAGCCGCGCCACCCUUUGCACAUGGCACCGAGGUUGCAACAAGCUGAACAUGACCAUGUAUAUGAAAGUUGACAAGGCAAUACAUCAGCGAAAGGCAUCACCAGGGGCCCACCUUUUCAUGUGUCCAGAAGCAUCCUUGCCAUCUCGCAUCAACUCAAUGGCCCAAUUGAAGUCGGACAGAAAGUCCACAAAACCGUUGAUGCCAAACAGACGGCCAGCAUCUGGGCUCAAAUGUGUGCCACGUGCAAGCAGUGUCAUGGCUGCCCUGUCACAAGUUAACAGAAUUUACUCAGGCAAAUAGAUACUUGUUGAAGCGACCCCAGGAGGCCAAAUAGCACAGCCAUUGAAGCCUACCUGUAGAACUCAUUCUGCCAGUGUCGCUCGUAUACAUUGCCCGUGCGGUCCCGCGAGAAGGACUUGGACAGCUGGGCAGGCGACAUGCGCUCCACCACCAUCGCAAUGAAGCUGGCAAUGCCCGAAUUGACGCAGAGCCUGAGAAUCUCCAACAGUUGUGCAGAAGUGUUGACGCAUAAAAAACACCUCGUGCAGUCUGGACGGGAAGCUGAACAUGCGCCGCUCCUCCACGAGCUGCCCCAAGCGCACCAACGUGCCAGCCAACUCACGCACAGGAUCUGUCAUGUCAUCUGCAGAAAC
rnacentral:lncRNA from 1 species